GAGCUUCAUAUGUAGAACUGUUUCCGAGGAAGUGCCCCUGCCUGAGUACCCUUGGAGAAGUGCCUGCAGGCAGCUAAGCCCAGCAGCAUGGGAAGGGUUGGCUUCUGCUGAAACAGCCCAGGAACUCAAGGAGUAAAUAUACCUUUCUGACUUUUGAGACUAAUGAAAUUCUUCACUUUUUUGUCAUCAGUUGACAUCAUCAUGCUCCAGAGUCAUGACCACAUUCAGGUCUCAAAAUUCUCAGCUGAAAGAAAGUUAGGCCUCAAGGUCUUUCGUCAGUCACAGAUCAGUUUCCACAUGAAAAGUGCUACUUUUCAGACAGUAAAAAAAGAAAACAAGGAUUUUUGAUAAGAAUGGCUAGUUCCAAGUAGCUAUUCAUCCAAAAAUAAUUGCUUUUACAUGUGCUGCAAGAGACAAAAUGAAUUUAUUCCUGUUUUGCUUUGAGAAAUAUUGCAAUCCUUGUUGGCUUAUCAUCUUAUUAUUUGUGUUUUUCUCUUCUAAAUGCUCUGCAUCUUGGUUACAUCUAGGUUGUGUCUAAAUGUUACAAAUAAAACCCAUGGAAAAUCUUCUUGUAUGUGUGGCAAGCCAGAAA